UUCUUACCAUGCUGAAUAUACCGGUUCUCGUUAGAUCACCGAAGUCAAGCAUCAUUGGGCGCGGUCAGUACUUGGGUGGGUGACCACCUAGGAACACCACGUGCCGUU
rnacentral:rRNA from 1 species